CACAGAUUGCCAGGGAGCCUGCACUGCCUUGUCCACCCAUUAGGGUCUCUCGCACUCAGGUUGCAGUUUUUGGCUAUCUGGAUGACAAAGAUCAUUUGCAUAAGUUUUCUUAACGAAGGACAGAGCACUGUGCCUCAGCGUGGAUCAGCAAAGAAAGUCUGAUGAUUCAACAUGUAGUCGGUUGCUCUCACGUUCACACCAAAGGUACCGAACUUAUAUGGAAGACCCUAAGUGGUAAGACCCAUGCCUACUGGAAAUGGAAUCUUCUGCUUCUGGGAACAACUCUGCUCCACAAACAGGUCUGAUUUGUAUUUAUAAAAAAUACAUUAAUUGCUCUAAGCUGGACUCCAACAGACUUUGAUUUCCUCAAGUCUGUUUAAGGAUCCUUACAAAGGGAGAAAAAAUGGCGUAAAGCUAGGAAUUAAUGGCAGUUCUAAGGAGUAAAACUGAAAAUCUAAACUGAAAAUUAGAGGGGUGAGAUUUAUGCACACAACAGGCUUCAGCUCACAGUGUGUCUUUGGUGAGGAGAAAGAAACUAAAGGGGAUUCUGAGCCUGUCAGCAGUUUUCCUUUUUGACGUUUCAGAGCAUUACUUUGCAACCUCUUUGUGUUAAAACAUCAACUUUUGAAAAUUAACCUUCACUGUAAAUAUUGUUAAAGUAAGAUAAUCCAAGAAUGAAAUGAAAAUACAUUUAAAAAAAUUGUUAGAUAGCAGCUGGCAAGAAAGUUCUUUAAAAAUGUUAUUUCAUCAAGUACAACCCACUGUAAAAUCCAUACACAUUUUAUGUACUCCCUUUUUAAAACAACAACUGUCUUUAUAGUAAACUGUGAGGUACAUUGUGCACCCGGCACAGAUUCAAAUUGAAAAGACAAGGUGACAGUUAGUUGAUUCUUUAAUAUCUCUGUUUUUCUUCUGGUUUGCAAGUUAAAAGAAUUCAUCAUUCAGUUGGAUGUGUUUCUGCAGAAAUGUAUUUCACUCUCAAAAGGUGAGGAAAAGGCUAAAAUAGCAGAGUCCUGAGCCACUGGUGGAGGAGGAUACCCAAAGAAGAUAGCAUGUGGUCCAGGGUGGGAGAAGAGACCCUGCUUGUGUAUGGGCGUGUAAAUAGGGAAGAGUCUAUGUAGCAAUCAUGGAAUUACAGAAUCGUAGGGGUUGGAAGGGAUCUUUGCAGAUCAUCAAGUCCAACCCAGCUGCUAAAGCAGGUUCCCUACAGUAGGAAACACAGGCAAACAUCCAGGCAGGUUCUGAAUGUCUCCAGAGGAGGGGCCUCUCUGGGCAGUCUGUUUCAGUGCUCUAUCACACCAAAGUAAAGAAGUUUUUCUUGAUUUUCACAUGGAACUUCCAGUAUUUCAGUAUGUGUCCUUGUCCUGUCACUGCACUUCAACAAAAAGAGCUUGGCUCCACCCACCUGAUUCCCAUCCUUUACAUGUUUAUAAAUGUUGAUAAGAUCCCCUCUCAGUCCUGGGUCUCCCAGCCUUUCCUCGUAUGAGAGAUGCUCUAGGCCCUUAAUUAUCUUUGUCACCCUCCACUAGAUUCCUUCUAGGAGAUUCCUGUCUUUUUUGACCUGGGGAAGCCAGAACUGCACACAGUAUUCCAGAUGUGGCCUCAUCAGGGCAGAGUAGAGGAGGAGGAGGAUCACCUCCCUCGACCUGCUGGCCACAAUCUCUUUAAUGCACCCUGGGGUACCACUGGCCUUCUUGGUCACAAGGGCACGCUGCUGGCUCAUGGCCAACCUGUUGAAGGUUACAUGAAGUAACAGGGAGCAGAAAGGUCAGGAGGUAAGACAAAAAGGAAAAGCUGAGAGCGCAGGUAGGCGUCUCCAGAAUAGCCUGCCUCAACUCUGUACUCAGAGCAGUCAGAAAAUCAGUCACCUACAAAAGUAUUUCUUUCCAAUGGCCUCAGGACACCACCAGCAGGGGAAGGGAAACUGCCAGAGGGAACGACACCUGCGGAGGGAUGCUGGUGUGUAUGCAGGGCAGGAUGCUGCCUGAAAACAACAAUUCCAUUAACUUGGAUUCCCAUCUCAAUUCCUUUGGAUUUCCAGUCACGCCCUGGAUCUGCAGACUGCCAUCAACACCUGCUCUCCUGCAGUGCCUGGUGCUCCAGAAACCCCAGGCUGCCCGUUGUGAGGCCAGGGAUGCGCAGCUUUCCCAGAGCCAGGCAUUUUACAUUGUUUGUAGUCUGCAUUUUGGAGUCAUUACUCAGUGGUACAAGAGUGCGUACACGCGUGUUGGGGGGGGGGGGGAAUAAUUGUGCCAUUAAUGAUUGCUAUUUUGAUUACAGGAUGCAAUUGUCACUGCGGUUGGAAGCCAAUCAACGCGUUGUGAGUGGGAGCCCGCUGGUACUUUCCAAUGGUCCUUGAUUAAAAAGGAAGCUCUUGGCUAUCUUCAAGCAGCAGGAGAGGAAACAGCAUGGAGAAGAUACUCAGAUGCAGCGGAAUUCAAGCAUGAAACUAAACAGCUUCUCAGAUAUUAUCUAUUCAGCCAUCUGCUUGACAGACAAUGGAUAACCUUCCAGAUUCAUGGAGCUGCAUCUGCCUUUUAAUCCAGUGGUAGUCUCCAUGGAAAUAAACAGGAGGCAUUACUUUUGGAGCAACCCAUGUAUAUGUGGCCCAGAACCAUUCCUCUUCACUCAAUACAGCUCAGACAAGCCAAAAGGUUGGAUAGCCAUGCUCUAAGGCUUCUGCGUAUCCAGAAGAGACUGCAGGGACUUCAAGUGAUCUUCGCCUCCUGCUGAACCAGAUAGGUAAAAAGGGAAAAGGUUAUAUUCUGAUAUCAUCAGGAGCAAUAUUGGGCAACUUAGGACCUCCUAUAUUUGGCCUAUGACUUUUGCAGGAAGAUCUCCAUCCUCCUCCAACAAGAAGUACACUGCCAUCCCUCCUAAAUCCAGGACUCGCAUCAAAGACAGACUGAUGGGAUACUGUUGUGACAAGAGGAGAGGACAGGAUUGCCCACUGGAUGAGGAGUUGUGGAGCAGUACUCAAGGAAAUCCCAUCGAUCAGACCGAUUCAGCAGAGAGCUUUUUUCUUCAUCAAUGACACCAGAUGCUGUACAACUCUCCACUGUGACAGCUUUGUACAAAUGGAAAUCCAUAGCAAAUGUGAGCAUAACCUGCAACAGAGUGAAGCCCAAACCAAACAAGUAAACCAACCAACCAAACAAGAAACCCACAUAUUUUUCAGCAAUGGGAGAGAAGGCGAGAAAAUAUUUACCUUACUCUCCCUCCGUGCUUGUUUCACUCACAUUAGAGUAGAUUUCCCCUUUCCGGAUUGUCUCGUGCAUAAAAUACACCCAAGUUUCAUGAGCUGUGUAUGUGCCUAUACAAGUAGAGUGCACAAGCUCUGCUGGCUGUGCUGGUGGGGAGUCCUGCAUCUGAGUAGUGGCUCUGGGUCAAAACUGUGGAGAGGGCACCAGAAAUUAAUAUAGAUCAUCUUUUUCAUAAUGUUAGAGAGUGCCACCAGUGUUUGGUGGCUCAGUUUGCUCCAUGAAACUGUGGUUGGGGCUGCUUUGCAUCCACCUGCUGAUUACUCCACUCUUCCCCUUUCCCCAUUAGGAGAGAAAAAGAUUAAAUUCCCAUUAAUUAAAAGCUAAUUGAUGACAAGAUGACAACACUAAUGUAGAAGCUCAUGGUCCUGAGUAACAAGAUGCUAAAUAUCACCAGUUCAAUUUAAAAAGACAGCAUCAAUGUUAGCCUGAUAACUAGAGAAACAAUCUUGCUAAUUGUGGGAAAUGACUCAAAGGCCUGGCUUGGUUGUCAUAGGAGGAUGGGAUGAGACCCCACAGCACCCAGUGGGUGCAACCCAGCCUGUUGUGCUCCCCCAAGCCCUGCACUGCCGUGGCACUGUGCACACCUGGCUGUGCGCAUGAAGCCAAAUCCCUGCGAGGACGACGGAUGCUGUGCAUAGGACUGGGGCCUGGCUGGCUCUGCUGGGGCAGGGCGUGCUCAGAAGCAGCCUGUCCUGAACAUACCAUGGGGGCCAGCCACAUUUGUAGGCUCUGGCACAGGCACUGGCAGCACAUCCAGUCUGCUUUGCUGGCCUGAGCAUGCAGCCCUCCUCCUGGGCAGGGACAGGCAUGGCAGCAGUGCCUAUGUUCUGUUGGAGCAGCUUUGCUUGAGCUCUCUCAAGCCCCCAAGGGGACGAAGCCUGUCUCACCAGAAGGGGAUGGGACAGCAAACUGCUGUGCUGCUGAUGGCCUCACACCCCUCCUGCCUCCGCCACCAGCUCUGGGAUCAGCACGUGCUGCAGCAGUUGUGCACCCAGCCCCCACAUCACGGCCCUGAGACAGAGAUCUGUUACCUGAUGGUAGCAGCUCUGAAGGGCUGAGAUUAAUUAAAGGAUUAACUGAAAUCCAUUCUUUUCUUGAAUUCUUCUUCUUCUUCUUCUUUUAUUUAUUUAUUUAUUUUCCCUGCUUCUUUUUGCUGUGAAUCUCCAUUCUUGGCUGGCAGUGCUUCCAGCAGUUGGGAACUGGAAUUAUGGAGCAGAGAAGGCUAAAUGCAAUCCAAACCCAGGAAGUCAGUUUGGAUCAUAAAUCUGCCAAGCCAUUAUGGAAUCACAGUAUGGUUUGAGUAGGAAGGGACCUUUGGUAGUCAUUGAAACCAACCCCCUGCCAUGGGCAGGGACAUCUUCCAUGAGAGCAGACUGCCCAGGGCUCCAUCCAGCCUGGCCCUGAGCACUGCCCGAGAUGGGGCACCCACAGCUUCCCUGUGCAACUUAUCAAGCCAUCCAAGGAAGCAGAGAGAAAGAAACCUAAGGGAAGGUGCCAGCAGAGCACUGCAAAUAAAAUCAAAGGAGAAGACAGAUUAAAUGUGUUCUGCGUAAUGCAGGCUUGGUUUCAUUCAAGUCCAUUUUGUAAGCAAGAUUUCAUGUUUCCUCUGAGUCUAAAAAUUAAAGCUUGAUGGAGCUAGUCUGGGUGAGACUUGUGGCUUUCUUCAUGAUUUUAUUGUGCUAAAAAUGAUCAUAAAACCGCAAGAACACCUUUUUCAGCAGAACUGCCUCUCUUUAGAAGACCCAUUACAGCACAUGUAAUAACAGAGCCGUGCAUCAGCUCUGCCGUAGGACCUGAGAAGAGGCCUGUGCUGGGACAAAACGGACCCACAGAGCUGAGCUCUGCUGUGAAGUGGGAGCACAGAGGCCCUCAGCACUCUCUGCUUCACCUGAGAAGUAUUCUGGGGGCAGCCAUGCAGAAAGAGGAGUGCUGAGCACCUGCAGGCCCCCCCUAAGGACAGAUCUCUGCAGACAGACCAAGGGAGGAUCAUCUAUCCUGCACUCAGCAGGCACAACGAUGCUGGGUCCUACCAGGAAAUGUGCUCUGACACACAGCAGCAACAAGAGACAGGAUUGAAAGUGGCUUCAGAGCUGUUCCCCGAGGGAUUUGGUCACUGUCUUACAGACAAGAAAAGAACUGCUGGGCUGGGACUUUGCCAUGACCAGGCAGCACCCCUGGGACUCUCGCAAGCUGCUCUGAUCUAAUCCUCAUGAAGCCUGACCCUUCCUUUCAAAUGAAACCUAAUCCAUCACCCCCUGAUUGUGCAAAACAUUAUCCGCUGACAAAUGCGGUGAUAGCGGUGCUAAUAGAAGCCUGAUGGAUGGCCAGGGCUGGGACUGCAGCUCUCCUGCCCAGCGACUCCUACCUGAGCUUCAGCAUCUGUGAGCAGGAGCUGGGAGAAGAGCAGUUUUUCUGGAGCUGCCCCAUACAGCCCAGCAUUUUGGCCGGUCUGUGCCAUGCCCUCCCUUCCCAGGUCUGCUAUGGGAAGGACUGCAGCCAGGCAGGGCUGCCUUCAGCUGCUGAGCUCCAAGCUCUGUUGUUUUCAUCCAGCCCAGCACGAAGGCGUAAGCUUUCCUAUUAGCUUUUAUUGUUAUUGUUAUUAUCUAAAUCGUGCAAGAAAAAGCAUUCACUGACCUAGUCUGCAAUAAACUAUAAGUGGUUCUGAAGACCAUGAAGAUGGACAACACGAGGCAGAAGUGCUGCACGCUCUGUUGAGUUUUUCAUUAGGAUUUUUCUCUCCCCCUGUCUAUUUCUCACACCCACUGGAUUAUGAAUUUACAUGCAUUAUAAUGAGAAUAACUACAAUCAUGAUAGAUAGGAUUUUUUUUUUUUAAAUCUUUAUGUAAAAAGCUACGGAACAUAAGCGAGCUGUCGAAGUUUGAAGGAAUCAGCCCCGUUUUGGUCAUACACUUUCAUAUUUCUUGUUUUGGGGAUGCAGAGUGAGUCUGGGCUGCAAUCUAAAUUCUGCGGGGAGUUGUGGUUGACGGAAAUAAACCAUGUGUUGAGGGUGCCAUGUGAGCUGAACAUAAACAUGAAUUAAACCCUGCAACUGUGAAGGAACCAGGACUGCUGCAAAACUGGUGCUAAAAACAUAAAUUUAAAGCCUAAAAGAAUGGAUUGGAAGCCGGUUUAAUUGCCUCAAUAAAGGGGUAACAUGAAAGUUAUGGGUGUCAGAGCAGAUUAAAUGUACCUCAGAAAUCAGAAUAUGCUGUUGAUGCAUGAUGGAUGAAUGACAGAAGCCUGAAAGAGGCUAUUACAUCGACACAGUUGUAUAGAAAAUGUGGUUUAGUGGUUAAAAAGGGUGAGUGGAAGGCAGGGGCUCUUGCUGGGGCACAGCAGCUCCUUGCAUUGCAGUGUGAGCUUGGGCUGAAGCUUCUUUGUUGGGUUUGUUGAGUGGGAGCACCUUGCUCAGUGCCUGGGUGCUGUGCAACCUUGUUAGUAGGGCUGGAAAUCAACCUGCUCUUUGGAACGCAUCAUAUGCUAGUUAGGGCACUCAGUGCUAACACCCUUCUGUUGGCAAUGGAGCACAGGCUGGGUGUCCCCACACAGCACUGAACGUAGAUGUGCAUGUGAGACAGCAGAUAGCUCACCUAGCUUUGGGCACCUACACCUGCAUUCAGCACUUAGGCUCCUUUUGCAGUCAACAAGGAAAAUACUCCCAGCCAUUUCUGGACUGCAGUUCAUCUCACUGCUUUUAGACCUAAGCAUGGCUAUGAGAGGGGAAACCGCUAAGGAAUGGCUGCAUGGGUUUCCCAAGAGGGCACACCAAUAAGUAUAUUAGGGCAUACAGUGGAGACAUCAGUAUUGACAUGUGGGGCUAUGCCAGUGUGGUGAGACGCAGCAGAUAGGCUGAAUUCAGCUGCGUGUAGAUGAGUGCAGGACAGUGCUUGCCCACAGGGAUCCUGCUCUGCCUGCACUGUGAAUGAAUGAAAAAAUGGCUCAUGCAAGCACUGCAUGCCGAAAUCAUUGCAGGCACUUCCUCGGUGUUGCAAAACAGGAGCCGUGACUGUGGGGCUCCUGCGGUCUGUCUGCAGGUGAAGGAUGGCUGUCAGCACUGUCUGCAGCGGCUGCGGCGCAGUGGCACUUAGUCGAUAGGAGGUGACAAGGGCUCGCGGAAGGGAUGGAGUGUCACCACGCUGGCAGGCAGAGGCAGACAAACGAGAGGCUUUGAGACAAAGUGCGGUUGCCAAAUUCAUAGCGAUUUUUCUAAUAAGGUUGUGGCCAGCAGCAGGAGCACUGGGAAGGACUUGUGCCACGCAAAAAAAAAAAAAAAGCUUCCGUGCUAUCGCCCAUUUCCAGAAGGGGAGCGCUUUGGCCCAGCGCUGAUUUUCCAGGAAAAAAAGAAAACAAAUUUCCCUCCCAGCAGAAGAAUCACAGAAUGGCCCAGGCUGGAAGGGACCUCAAGGAUCAUGAAGCUCCGACCCCCCCGCCACAGGCAGGGCCACCAACCUCCCCCUUUAAUCCCAGCCCAGGCUGCCCAGGGCCCCAUGCAACCUGGCCUUGAACACCUCCAGGGAUGGGGCAUCCACAGCCUCUCUGAGCAGCUGUUCCAGCACCUCACCACUCUCAUAGUAAAGAACUUACCCCUGACAUCCAAUGUAAAUCUUCUCUCCUUCAACUUAAAACCAUUUCCCCUUGUCCUGCUGUUAUCUAUCCUUUCAAGAGUUGAAAAGAGCACACCUACAAAACCAGGUGAGUCUGAAUGUGCAUUGGUGGCUCAGAAACAAAUGGUGAUGUGAUGAGGAGGAUCAUACCACUUGGAUGGACCAAACCACACACAGCUGCAGGGCACCAGCACCAGGAAAUGCUGACUGGUGUUUGCCACAAAUGCACCACAUCACUUCACCUGCAUUAUUUAAGCUGUGAAUGCCUCAGGCUCUCUGAGGUAGAAGAAUAUAUGUGUGCUGCUUUACCCACAGUUUGGAGGAGCUGCAGGGUUUAAUUGGUGUUACGGAAGCAUUUGUGUAGUGGCAAGAUCAAAACCUGAUGCAGUGUGAGAGCCAAAGUUCAUUCUGAUCGUGUUUGCUGUACAACUCCUGGUACUUCCAAACCAAGGGCUCCCAGAGGAGGCUGCAUUGCAGACUGCUGGUUUUUGUAGCCCAAAUACAGCAGCUCCUUCUGGCUACAGCAUGUCGGUGAGUUAUACAGGUUUGGAUGCAGCUUAACUUCAGAAUGGGCACAAAUGGCCUAAGAGCAAGGCAGUGUCUGCAGGCAGGCAAGGUCAGAUAAGGAAAGAUCAUAGAAUCGCUAAGGUUGGAAAAGACCCACAGGAUCAUCCAGUCCAACCAUUCACCCAUCACCAAUGGUUCUCGCUAAACCAUGUCCCUCAACACCACAUCCAAACGUUCUUUGAACACCUCCAGGGUCGGUGACUCCACCACCUCUCUGGGCAGCCCAUUCCAGUGCCUGACCACCCU
ensembl:lncRNA